CUCAAAACUGUCAAAAGAGUGGCAAUAUGAAAACGAUUUGGUCUAUGCAAGCAAUGUACGACACCCAUCUUUACCUAAGUCAAAUCAGUGAAGUAGAAUCGACAGCUUUUUUUCUAAUCUUUUUAAAUCUUUUAGUUAUUUCUUCAAUUUAAUAAUUAUUUAUAUUAUUAUUUAAAUUAUUUAUUUUUUAAAAUAAUAUCUAAAAAAAUAUACAACUCUUUAAAUUACUAUAGUAAAAAUAAAAAUUUAUCCAUCGUAUAGUUUUUAAGCAUUACUUCAAAAAUACUUUAUACAUAACAUAAUAGCUGUGACUUAAAUAUCUAAUUUAAUGGCCAAAUUCAAAAUAUUUUCUUUAAGCUUUAGUGAUAUGUAACAUAUACGAUAAAUGCGCUUUAAUUACUAAUAAUACAAUCGAAAUAUAACAUAACUUUCGAUACAUAAUCGAACUAUCCAUCUAUGGAUAAUGUUGGAGUUUUUAACGUCUUAUUUUUUAUUGUAAUGUCGGAGUUAAAUCCGUCGUAGCAAAGAUGUUUCCCUAGGUGGUAAACUCUAAACUAGCUAUUGUAACCUUAGCGUAAUUUACCUUGGUAUAAAGGUCGUGUAUUUAUUACAAUUUACUUUUAUCAUUACCGUUUAUCAAUAAUAAUUCAUACUCGACGAUAAAUCACAAUAUUUUUAUCCACUUCGAAUAUUUUGCUUAAUUUUUUAUACGUAGAGUAAUCGUCGCUAGAAUUUACUAAUUAAUAUAAACUAUUACAGAUAAAUUAUAAGUAAUUCGUCAAACUUAAUUCCAUUUUCUCAUAUUCUGUAAAUUAUGAUAGAUAAAUAUUAAAAAUGUAAAUGAUAUCUUGAAGUUUAUAUUACAACUAAGGAUUAUGUUAACAGUGGAUUUGGUACUAUACAGGCUUUAUUAAAACCGCUUUCAUGAUUAAAAGUAAAGAGUUCUAGUUGUCCUAAACUUCUGCAUUUAUAUACCCCAACAUUGAAUGAUGAAAUAUUGAUGUCAUUAGCUUUACCGAAAAGUUCAUUAAUGGAAAGAAAUCUCCGUCCUACAAAAUGCAUACAAUUAUUUUGUUGAAUAAGAUUUUGUUUAUAUUUUACAAAAUAUUACUGAGACAGAGUAUAAGUCACACCUAGGUCAGUGGCUCAAACAAGCCAGCAACAGAGGAAAUGAAAAAAAAAAACUUUAAAAUUUGAUUUAUAAAUUAUAAUUAUUAUUGUGGAAUAUUUAUAAUUCAUUAAUUUGUUAAUUAUUUUUUAAUAAAGAAAUUCAAGGACAUUAAUUUUGAGUGAAUUUAUUUGAAUUCAUUCUGAUUGACUAAUUUAUGUUUAUUUUAAUGAUCCCCGGUUCUGGGGCCACUAAUAAUUAAUACCCAUAAUAGAUUAAAAUGAAAUGGUAAUGUAUAAUAUAAUGAAAUUACAGGAAUAGAAGUUUAAAACUGAGUCAAUAUUACAAUGUCACUAAUUAGAAGUUGUUAAAUCACAAAGAUUGAAAUAAUUACUCUCUAAAAUAAACAAAUUCAACUGAUUUUCUUGCUCAUUUUUUUUUAUUAAAUUGGAGUUUUUAAUGUUACUA